UCUUGACACUGCACAGCUGGUUCUUCUACCCAAGUGCAUAUGCCCCAGUCCCAAGUGGAAUGAAUAUAGCCUCUUGGAAACAGACUGGUCAUUAAAAGCAGUGGAUUUGAUGGGUCCAGGGGACAGGCAAGAAAGGGUAAGGGCUGAACCAAGGUGCUGGCUGUGGGAAAAAACAGGAGGUGCUUGCUGGUUUUUCCUCUGUCCCUUCAGACCCACUCUCCACUCUGCUCUGUGACUCAGGACUGACCUUUAUGGGCUACGUCAACUAUAAUCUGGCUUUCAAUUGGUUUUGGCAAGUGGGAGGCACCUGCAGAUCAGAAGGCAGGAUGUGAUUCAGGACCUCCCCUGCAUCCCCAGCGGGCCACCCUGUUAGCAGUGGCUAUGUUCUUCAUCUGAAAGCCAUUACUCCCAUCCUGUGGCCCUCUCCUGCAGUUUUCUCCAGGUUCUGGUUACCACUAACUACCCUUGCCCCUUCAGGCCUGGAGUGGGUAAUGACGCCCAGAGGUUUCCUUUAACCCCAUCCACACCUUUUUAAAUAGUCCCUUCAUUAAACUCUCCUCAACUAUCCCAUCUUUUCCCCACCUUUCCAGGACGCUAUAAUAGAUUUUAGUCCAUUGCGGUUGGCAAAAUUCAUGAGGACAAAAAUAUAUGUAAAAGAAAUACGGGGCUUUUAAAAGGCGAGAAGUCUUCCAGAGCCAUCUUGACAGUUCCCUGGGCUCCAGGCAGCCAGCAUGCUAGGUGGUCUCCCCACUGGGCCCCAUAGCCCGAGGGUGCUAGUUUAGGUAGACCCAAGAAUGGAAUUCAGACUGCUCAUAAACAGUGUGAUCACCAAAGGGCUGGGGAUCAUUUCAGAGUCCAGCAUAACAGGAUUUUGGAUUCCUCUUGAGGUAGAGAGACAAUCUAGAUCUUUAUAGAGCAAGUGCUGGUGCUCUCCCAACUACAGCUGGGCUGCUUUUGAAUGAGUCAAUAUUCUUAGGACACUUAAGAGAGUCCUGGAAACAGUGUCUGACAAGUGUGCUUAACAAGAAACUGCUGAGUGAGGCAAUUGUCAAUUGAGAGCCUCUGGCUGUUUCUGUAGAAAAUCCAAGAAUGUUCCCAAAGAGGGGGAAAAAGGCAAGAGGGUAGGAAGUCAUUAAAUUGCCUCUAGCACACUAUGGUGUGCUUGGUCUGAAUCCAAAAUUUGACCAUUUCUCGGGCUUGUAAAAACAACCAAACUGAUUUGACUACUUUGAUUCCUUCCCCAUCCCCUUGAAAAACAAAACAAAAACAAAAUAAACAAAAAACCCACCAAUGCAGUAUCUUAGCAAGACUUACCCAAAGGGACCCCCAGCUGUAGCUAUUUGCAAAUAAAAUUAAUGUCCAAGCAAACACACUAUUUGUACUGAAUACAAAUGAGACCAGAACAGAACAUUUAACAUGUAAAUAUUUCCAAACUUUCACCCUUCCAAAGAGAAAGGACCAAGGUAUAGAAAGAUAUGAAAG
rnacentral:lncRNA from 1 species